GACGAACGCUGGCGGCGUGCCUAAUACAUGCAAGUCGAACGCACAGUUUAUACCGUUGCUUGCUACACGAUAGACGGUGAGGUGUGAACGGGUGAGGAACGCGUAGGUUACCUGCCUGGUAGCGGGGGGUAACUAUGGGAAACGAUAGGUAAUACCGCAUAAUACUAAUUAUUGCAUGGUAAUUAACUGAAAUGUGCAAUUGUACCACUACCUGAUGGACCUGUGGUGUAUUAGCUAGUAGGUGAGGUAACGGCUCACCUAGGCGACGAUACAUAGCCGACCUGAGAGGGUGAUCGGCCACACUGGCACUGAGACACGGCCCAGACUCCUACGGGAGGCAGCAGUAGGGAAUCUUCGGCAAUGGACGAAAGUCUGACCGAGCAACGCCGCGUGAGUGAAGAAGGUUUUCGGAUCGUAAAGCUCUGUUAUGAGUGAAGAACGGGUGUGAAAGUAGAAAGUUCACGCUUGACGGUAAUCUUUCCAGAAGCAGCCGCUAACUACGUG
rnacentral:rRNA from 1 species